rnacentral:rRNA from 1 species
AGAGUUUGAUCCUGGCUCAGGAUGAACGCUGGCGGCGUGCUUAACACAUGCAAGUCGAACGGGAAACCUAUUAUUGAAGCUUCGGCAGAUUUAAUUUGUUUCUAGUGGCGGACGGGUGAGUAACGCGUGGGUAACCUGCCCUAUACAGGGGGAUAACAACCAGAAAUGGUUGCUAAUACCGCAUAAGCGCACAGGACCGCAUGGUCCAGUGUGAAAAACUCCGGUGGUAUAGGAUGGACCCGCGUUGGAUUAGCCAGUUGGCAGGGUAACGGCCUACCAAAGCGACGAUCCAUAGCCGGCCUGAGAGGGUGAACGGCCACAUUGGGACUGAGACACGGCCCAGACUCCUACGGGAGGCAGCAGUGGGGAAUAUUGCACAAUGGGGGAAACCCUGAUGCAGCGACGCCGCGUGAAGGAAGAAGUAUCUCGGUAUGUAAACUUCUAUCAGCAGGGAAGAUAGUGACGGUACCUGACUAAGAAGCCCCGGCUAACUACGGGCCAGCAGCCGCGGUAAUACGUAGGGGGCAAGCGUUAUCCGGAUUUACUGGGUGUAAAGGGAGCGUAGACGGAAUGGCAAGUCUGAUGUGAAAGGCGGGGGCUCAACCCCCGGACUGCAUUG